UUUUGUCUCUGACUUGAUGCUACAAAUUGUGUAUUGUUUUGCUCAUAGUCCGUUGUAUUUUGCACUUUGGUUGGAAUACGAAAUAUCUGAAAUGGUUGAAUAGUGACUACUUUCACUGCCAUGCACACAGUUCUGUUUUGGCCAAAUUCCUUGGAGCGGGCAGUUUUGUUAUUACUUUCCCUGUGCUAAUACCAAUGUGAUGUACAUGUACUAACUUAUGUGCAUAUUUUCAAUGCACGGCGCUUGCUUAGACGGUUAUAAGCAAAAAUAAUAAUACGUAAAGAGUAAUUAUGUAAGCGCCCUCUUACUCAACUCUGGCCGCUAAUUAAGGCGCUAAAUAAACUACGAAACCGGCGAGGAAAAAGGGGCCGAUGCCAUGCGUGGCUCCAGGAUUCUUUUUUGAUCUGGUGAAACUCGUCUGUGAGUAAAAAAAGAAAAGGAACUGCGGUCAACACGUGUGCACGCGAGCUUAACACGUUGGCUGGUCUAGAAAAAAACAAGCAGCCUCGGUGGCGCUCCUUCAGCCAUGUAUAUGGACUCCUCGCUCGUAAGCCAUUCAUGUUGACAGCGGUUAUCUUCCGCGUGGCUCGGCUCUUGCCGGUUAUCCACUGCCGACCGCCCCCGAGGAGUUCCCGGUCUCCGUCGGCUGCGCCGGCCAUGUCGCCGCCUGCAACACCUCGUUGCCUCUCCUUCUCCGUUCAUUCUUUUCCCAAGUCCAGCCGCAGCCGCCGCCGGAUCCGGUUGCCCUCGACCCAACGCAGGACGCCGCAGCCCCUACAAGUCCAGCCGCCGCCGGAUCCGGCUGAGUUUAGCUUUCUGGUCGGUGCAGCCACUAAAAAAGCAUUCUACACAAAAAAAUCCCCACCGAGAAGCUCUCAAUUGCGUUGCUCUUCUUCCACAUCUCCAUUCCUCUAGCACAGAGCUGCUCUUCUUCUUCUUCCCUCUAUCCAUCCAUCCAGCGAGCCCACGAACCCACAUCGUCAGCGCUGCUCUCCUUCUCUUCUCUCUAUCAGCGGCUGCUCUCCUUCCUCUUCUAUCCGUUCUCCAGCCACACCAAACUCACGCACGCCCGUGGCGGCUGCUUCGCGUUCGUCGCCCGGUUGCGGGGCGGCUGCAUAUCGUGUAUGGGCUCGUGGUGGUCGGGCCGCGCGCACGGUGCUGGCUGGGCUUGUGGCGGAGGGUGCGGCAGCAGUGGCCUCGACCUUGGAGGCGCGACAGUGGUGUGGCCCGGCCGCGCACACGGUGUUGGCUGGGCCUAUGGCGGAGGGCGCGACAGCGGUGGUCUACUCAGGGUCGACGCAACAACGGUGGCCUGCUCAAGGUCGACCUUGGCGGCUGCUCGACGGGGCCGCGUGGAUCUGCGUCCGGGCUCCGGGCUCCGGAUCGGCGUGGUCGUGUCCAGCCCACCCUCCUCCGACUACGCCUUGCUGCGGGGCUGCGGGCCCAGAUCUCGUGCACCAGGAGAAGUCUGAUGAUAAGGCUGAAGCUCUUUCAUCUUCUGUUGAAGGAAAGAAUGAUAAGGAUGACCAGGGGUAGAUGACCAAAAGAAAGGGGGCUGGGACAGCAAAGAAAUCAAGGCAGUUACUACUCUGCGCCAUCUAUGCAGAGAUUAAUUACCUAUAGAAAAGAAUACCUUUAUCCUGAUAGGCAUGGAAACACCGCUUCACAUUGAGUGCAUCAUCGCUAAUCAACUACUAUUGGAGAGCAAGGGACAUAUAAGAAAUCUCCAGGCAGCUUCGCUUAGAUGCAUCAUCUUCUGCUAGGACCUAGGAGUUAGCUUGAAGAACGACCUUCUCAGGAGACUGCAACUGACAUGCUGGAUGGUGAAUAACCAAAUUUGUGGACAAAGACAAAGAGUUCAUCGCAAGGGAUGGUGUUUAGGAUAUAUAUACACAAAAGAGGAAACUUUCUUUUGUACAGAACCAAAUUAUAUGAUGUAAUUGACCACUAUUUAUAAGAAAUGUUCGCCGUGUAUUAAGUACAUUUUAUUGUGUCACUUUUUUUGAGGGGUAGCUUUAUUCAUCAAACACCACAAAGUGUGCAAUGGAGUUCAUCAAACCAGGCUUUAUUGUGUCAA